UCUUUGAGAACACCAACCCACUCAUGAGGGAUCCGUUCUUACAACCUUAUCAUCCUCCCAAAGCCUCACCUCUGAAUCCCGUAUCACACUGGAAUUAAGGCUUCCACCUAGGAGUGGUUGGGACACAAAUAUUCAAUCCAUAAUAUCUUAUAAUCAAUGGCAUUUAGGCUUAAUAAUAUUUAAUUGUAUAUGUGAUUUUAAAAUUUGAUUGUAAAAUAGAAAUAUUAAGACCUGGCAUCUGAUAUUUAAUAAUCGCUUCACAUGGAUACCGUUAUCUCCUGACCUAAGAUCACACCAUUUAUAGGAACAGUAGGACUCGCAUUAUUUCUCCAUGACACCAGAUCCCUGCUGCCCACCACCAAACAGAUGAACAGAGAGUUGAAACAUUGUGAAAUUUCCACAGUCUGUGCACCGGACCUCUUCCUUUGAGCUCUAACACAGAGUCUGCUACAGUUCAGUGUCCCCUGGAUAUCUCCUUCCUUACCAGAUCCAGUGUUCAACUAGCUACCCAGAAAGCAAGGCUAGAAUGCAGAAUGUGCAGCUGCCCCCUGGGAUGGCAAAUUGAGGAACAGAAAGUGUAAGCAAUGGCAGAAGCGCUUCAUGAUUUUCAGACCAGCCUCCUCCUGGGAAACCCAUUCUCUGGUGACUGUCCCAAAGGAAGAGAUUUGUCUGCUUGAAGAAAGGCAUCCUUUUGGUCCUGAUGUCUCUGAGAAUACAUAAGGCAACACCCUGUGGUGUAGAGCAAUAGACCAACCCUCCACAAGUGACCUGGAGCACCCAGAUACAAACAAGGAAAGGGAUUUAAAGAAAGAGACAAAUUGGUCUUUAAUUGGAAGGGGAGUGAGCCAGGUCAGUGCCGCAUUCCCUGGAACAGCGGAUCCUCCAAGGACAUGCCUCCGCUCUCAAAGAGAUAAGGCCUUGGAAGCUGUUGUGGGAUGGAGCUCUCUGUGGUAUGUAGGAGUCUGAGACAUGGAAGAGGAGCCAAGAAACCAAGACACGCUUUGCUACAUCUCUUAGACAGUCCAGUAUGUGUUUGCUGAAGGAGAAAUAGAAACUGACUAGAAAAACAGCCUGGAUAUCAUUGAAUAAACAGCAAAGGACAGUGGACCAGGCAUAGUCCCUAAAAUACAAGACAGAUCCAAAUGGCACUCAGCAGAAAUCCUAGAAUCCCAUUUUUUCC